rnacentral:pre_miRNA from 1 species
CUUAUACUCCUUCCAUCUGAAAAUACUUGUCAUAGCAAUGGAUGUAUCUAGAUGUAUUUUAGUUUUAGAUAUAUCCAUUUUUAUUCAUUUGUGUGACAAGUAAUUUCAGACGGAGGAAGUAUUUA